rnacentral:rRNA from 1 species
UACAGAGGUCUCAAGCGUUUGUUCGGAUUCAUUGGGCGUAAAGGGUGCGUAGGUGGCGAGGUAAGUCGGAUGUGAAAUCUCAGGGCUCAACCCUGAAACUGCAUUCGAUACUGCGGUGCUUGAGGACUGGAGAGGAGACUGGAAUUCAUGGUGUAGCAGUGAAAUGCGUAGAGAUCAUGAGGAAGACCAGUGGCGAAGGCGGGUCUCUGGACAGUUCCUGACACUGAGGCACGAAGGCCAGGGGAGCAAACGGG